AUAAGAAAGUAUAUCAAAGAAAUAAAGUUAGAAGAUUGUCGCAAAAUUAUUAAUAAAUGUUUAAAAUCGUAUGAAAUGUUUGAUAACAGUAUUUAAUAAAAAAGAAAUAUCUGUCAAGCAGAAUGUCUUGGCUGACGAAUGCUGUAAGCGUUAACAGUUAUUAUGAGUUCAGAGAGUUUCAGCAUUGUCCACGUGAAAAAGGUGGAAAUGCUAGGACAGCUCUUGGUGACCCUAGUGCUGGCGUUGGGGAUGGCUCCGUGCGUUCUGCAGCGCGCCUGUUUGAGUUCGCCCCGCAGAAGCACGAACCCUCCGUCCUCCGUGUGCAUGCAUCGCGUCCCAACGCCAGUGAGAAACGGUAGUGCUUCCACUUGCCCAAAAUUGUCAGCCAAAUGAAGUUAAAUUUAAAAAUUGGUCACGAAGUUCUGAAGUAUUCAAAAAGGUUUGCUGUUAGCUCAUAAAGG